rnacentral:rRNA from 1 species
AAUCAACGCUGGCGGCGUGCCUAACACAUGCAAGUCGCACGAGAAAGGGACUUCGGUCCUGAGUAAAGUGGCGCACGGGUGAGUAACACGUGAAUUAUCUACCUCCGAGUGGGGAAUAACUGAGAGAAAUCUUAGCUAAUACCGCAUAACACUUACGAGUCAAAGCAGCAAUGCGCUUGGAGAGGAGUUCGCGGCCGAUUAGUUAGUUGGCGGGGUAAUGGCCCACCAAGACGAUGAUCGGUAUCCGGCCUGAGAGGGCGCACGGACACACUGGAACUGAAACACGGUCCAGACUCCUACGGGAGGCAGCAGUGGGGAAUUUUGCGCAAUGGGGGAAACCCUGACGCAGCAACGCCGCGUGGAGGAUGAAGUAUCUCGGUACGUAAACUCCUUUCGAUGGGGAAGAUUAUGACGGUACCCAUAGAAGAAGCCCCGGCUAACUUCGUGCCAGCAGCCGCGGUAAUACGAGGGGGGCAAGCGUUGUUCGGAUUUAUUGGGCGUAAAGGGUGCGUAGGCGGUUUGGUAAGUCUUUUGUGAAAUCUAUGGGCUCAACUCAUAGACCGCAAGGGAAACUGCCG